UACGUAGGGUGCGAGCGUUGUCCGGAAUUACUGGGCGUAAAGCGUGCGCAGGCGGUUCGUUGUGUCGGCGGUGAAAGCCCCGGGCUCAACCUGGGAAUGGCAAUGGAUACUGGCAGGCUAGAGUGCGGUAGAGGGUAGUGGAAUUCCCGGUGUAGCGGUGAAAUGCGCAGAUAUCGGGAAGAACACCCGUGGCGAAGGCGGCUCUCUGGGACGGUACUGACGCUGAGACGCGAAAGCGUGGGGAGCGAACAGG
rnacentral:rRNA from 1 species